CAUCCUGUAGUGAUGAACAAAUGAAGUCUCACAAAUCAACGAAGAUUUCCAGCCCUGUGCGCCAAGGUUCAUUACUCAGUAAUUCAUUCAUUGCUCACUAGUGACAUCUGCUGUUGAACUAAAACUGUGACACAUUGUCACUCAAGUAAAUUAUACUUCAAAAUAUAUGACAACUUACCAGUUUAGGCAAUAUGUCACAAUAAGGUUUUAAUCAAAUCCAUUUAGGAUCUAUUGAACCCAAUUUAUCUUGUUGUGAUUUGUGCCUGAAGUAAUCCUGCUGUUGACUGAGGUUGUGUUUUCUUAUAUCUUAUAGACUGAUUUGACAGUAAAGAUAUUUGUGUGGCAGUAUGCCCUGUAGGCUCUGAACGCAUCACACAAGUGCCUGAAUCUAAUUGGUUGUUGCGCUGGCUGUCAGUAUAUAAAGGGCCCUCCCUCACCUGGUUGACAUCACGUUGUUUUCCUUCUGGUUCAGACCUCGGCGUUUGCUGGCGUUGCACGCUAGCCGCAUAUUAAUGCACGCUCAACUGGUGCGCUUAACGACGCUCUAGUCGCCGAUCGAUCGGUGGCCCGUACAAGCUGCCUGAUUUCCCUUCCUGUCAGCGGCGCUACAUAUAGAGCUCAGUGGUCAGUGAAAUGCUCAUCUUCUGUAUGCUUCCAGAUUCCAUUUCUGACGCUGCUGUUUGUCCCUGGCUGGCGGUCCGCCUGCCGUCCUGGUCGGCGUAAAACUGGCUCCUGUCAUUCGUCCUUAAAUUCAAAAUGAGCGAAAUAUAAUCAGCCAUCUUUUCAUGCUAUUUGACGAUAUAUAAUUAACUCUUACUCCAUCCAAACAGCAAUAAGAUGAGAAAACUGAGUAAAUCUGUAUAACAACACUAAAGGACAUGUCAUAAUCUACAUUUGCUAAAAUGUUUCUGAUUUUUACACAAGAACAGUUUGAUUUCAGCCAGAAACGAUAAAUGUUUUACUUAACAGGCUACUUCCAAGUAACUUUACACACUUUUUAGACUCCAAGGCUGCAAAUAUAACAAAAUGUAAAAAUGUGUUUCAAAAAUAGCAAAUACUAAAUAAAAAUGAAAGUGGCAUCUUAAUGAGCUAAUCUAAGCCAGUUAAAGCUUUAUUCUACCUGACAUGCUGGCUAUCUUGUAUGCUAGCUCAAAUUAGCCUCAAACAAAGAAGUAAAUGAAGGAAACA